CCAAAACGACACCCCCAUCUGUCUAUCCACUGGCCCCUGGAUCUGCUGCCCAAACUAACUCCAUGGUGACCCUGGGAUGCCUGGUCAAGGGCUAUUUCCCUGAGCCAGUGACAGUGACCUGGAACUCUGGAUCCCUGUCCAGCGGUGUGCACACCUUCCCAGCUGUCCUGCAGUCUGACCUCUACACUCUGAGCAGCUCAGUGACUGUCCCCUCCAGCACCUGGCCCAGCCAGACCGUCACCUGCAACGUUGCCCACCCGGCCAGCAGCACCAAGGUGGACAAGAAAAUUGUGCCCAGGGAUUGUGGUUGUAAGCCUUGCAUAUGUACAGUCCCAGAAGUAUCAUCUGUCUUCAUCUUCCCCCCAAAGCCCAAGGAUGUGCUCACCAUUACUCUGACUCCUAAGGUCACGUGUGUUGUGGUAGACAUCAGCAAGGAUGAUCCCGAGGUCCAGUUCAGCUGGUUUGUAGAUGAUGUGGAGGUGCACACAGCUCAGACGAAACCCCGGGAGGAGCAGAUCAACAGCACUUUCCGUUCAGUCAGUGAACUUCCCAUCAUGCACCAGGACUGGCUCAAUGGCAAGGAGUUCAAAUGCAGGGUCAACAGUGCAGCUUUCCCUGCCCCCAUCGAGAAAACCAUCUCCAAAACCAAAGGCAGACCGAAGGCUCCACAGGUGUACACCAUUCCACCUCCCAAGGAGCAGAUGGCCAAGGAUAAAGUCAGUCUGACCUGCAUGAUAACAAACUUCUUCCCUGAAGACAUUACUGUGGAGUGGCAGUGGAAUGGGCAGCCAGCGGAGAACUACAAGAACACUCAGCCCAUCAUGGACACAGAUGGCUCUUACUUCGUCUACAGCAAGCUCAAUGUGCAGAAGAGCAACUGGGAGGCAGGAAAUACUUUCACCUGCUCUGUGUUACAUGAGGGCCUGCACAACCACCAUACUGAGAAGAGCCUCUCCCACUCUCCUGGUAAAUGCUCUCCAGUCUCAAAACUGAAGGCUGGAGCACACAGAAUAAGCUCCUGCACAGGCCAGGCCAGUAUCGGGUCCAGUGUGUCUGACUGAGCCCAGGGACAAAAUGGCAGCACUUUGGGGAACUGAGGUUUCUGGUCCAAGAAGGAGAGAUGGAGGCCCAGGGAGGGUCUGCUGACCCAGCCCAGCCCAGCCCAGCUGCAGCUUUCUCCUGGGCCUCCAUACAGCCUCCUGCCACACAGGGAAUGGCCCUAGCCCCACCUUAUUGGGACAAACACUGACCGCCCUCUCUGUCCAGGGCUGCAACUGGACGAGACCUGUGCUGAGGCCCAGGACGGGGAGCUGGACGGGCUCUGGACGACCAUCACCAUCUUCAUCAGCCUCUUCCUGCUCAGUGUGUGCUACAGCGCUGCUGUCACACUCUUCAAGGUAAAGUGGAUCUUCUCCUCGGUGGUGGAGCUGAAGCAGACACUGGUUCCUGAAUACAAGAACAUGAUUGGGCAAGCACCCUAG